AGGACGAACGCUGGCGGCGUGCUUAACACAUGCAAGUCGAACGGUGAAGGAGAGCUUGCUCUCUGGAUCAGUGGCGAACGGGUGAGUAACACGUGAGUAACCUGCCCUUGACUCUGGGAUAAGCGUUGGAAACGACGUCUAAUACCGGAUACGAGCUUCAGUCGCAUGGCUAGGAGCUGGAAAGAUUUCGGUCAAGGAUGGACUCGCGGCCUAUCAGCUAGUUGGUGAGGUAAUGGCUCACCAAGGCGACGACGGGUAGCCGGCCUGAGAGGGUGACCGGCCACACUGGGACUGAGACACGGCCCAGACUCCUACGGGAGGCAGCAGUGGGAAUAUUGCACAAUGGGCGCAAGCCUGAUGCAGCAACGCCGCGUGAGGACGAAGGCCUUCGGUGUAAACCGUCGUUUAGUAGGAAGAAGCGAAGUGACGGUACCUGCAGAAAAGCAACCGGCUAACUACGUGACCAGCAGCCGCGUAA
rnacentral:rRNA from 1 species